UACGUAGGUGGCAAGCGUUAUCCGGAAUUAUUGGGCGUAAAGCGCGCGCAGGUGGUUUCUUAAGUCUGAUGUGAAAGCCCACGGCUCAACCGUGGAGGGUCAUUGGAAACUGGGAGACUUGAGUGCAGAAGAGGAAAGUGGAAUUCCAUGUGUAGCGGUGGAAUGCGUAGAGAUAUGGAGGAACACCAGUGGCGAAGGCGACUUUCUGGUCUGUAACUGACACUGAGGCGCGAAAGCGUGGGGAGCAAACAGG
rnacentral:rRNA from 1 species